rnacentral:rRNA from 1 species
AUACAGAGGGUGCAAGCGUUAAUCGGAAUUACUGGGCGUAAAGCGCGCGUAGGCGGUUUGUUAAGUUGGAUGUGAAAGCCCCGGGCUUAACCUGGGAGGGUCAUUCAAAACUGGCAGACUAGAGUGUGGUAGAGGGUAGUGGAAUUCCUAGUGUAGCGGUGAAAUGCGUAGAGAUUAGGAGGAACACCAGUGGCGAAGGCGGCUUACUAGACCGUUUCUGACGCUGAGGAGCGAAAGCCAGGGGAGCGAACGAAAUUAGAUACCCCGGUAGUCC